rnacentral:rRNA from 1 species
UACGUAGGGGCCUAGCGUUGUCCGGAUUUAUUGGGCGUAAAGGGCGCGUAGGCGGUUUGACAAGUCUGAUGUGAAAUCUAUGGGCUCAACCCAUAGCCUGCAUUAGAAACUGUCGGGCUUGAGUAUGGGAGAGGUGAGUGGAAUUUCCGGUGUAGCGGUGAAAUGCGUAGAUAUCGGAAGGAACACCUGUGGCGAAAGCGGCUCACUGGACCAUAACUGACGCUGAGGCGCGAAAGCUAGGGGAGCAAACAGG